GUAAACGUAAAUAGCGUGUCGAAGAUGCAAGAGUGAGAAGCUCAAACUGCGUUUUAAAUCAUCGAACAAUCUUCCGUUCACAGCGUGUAAUUCAGCGGUUUUGAUUCUACCAUUCGGGAGGAGGAAUCGUAAAAUCAGGGAAAAUUGCGGGACACCUUCCUUUCCGGAUUCGCGACCCGGAUAGAAACCGCCUUGUGGAAUUCUUCGAUUGGAUCGCGUUUUGCUGGCGGUGGAUUGCGAACAGAAAAAGUCUAUCGAAUCGCAAGAUUUAUUGACGUUUAUUACUAUACGGCUAGCGGAGUUAAAUUGGCCAAAGGCUCAUAUGGCACCCACGAAGAUUGACUUUAAGACCAUCGUUAAAACGAAGAGAUCGAAAAGGAGUAGUAUCAUUUACAGCAUAGAAAUUCUAAAA